rnacentral:lncRNA from 1 species
AUGGAAAAAUAAAGAAUUUGACAAUAGAUAGCCUCCAGUCUAAAAUUGUAAUUUUGCACGCACUUUGGAGCUAUUGGAUGCCUGAAAAUAUCGGUCCUCAUGUAAUCUAACCGUUACACCUCUUGAAUCCAAUUAGGAACUCUUUCAUUAUUGGUUAUAAAGUGUUUGAUUUGGUCAGUUAAUACUCCCUCUGUUCAUAAAUAGAAGAUAUUUUAGAGACAAGCUGCAUAUUUAAUGAAGCAUCCACUUGCUGUAGGAAGCAUGUUUUAUGGUUCUGUACCAGGUAAGGUGUUUAGUAACCUAUUUAACAAUGCUUUCCAGCUUCUUUCCAUGUUCUAACAUACUUCAUGUGUUGUGUAAUAAUCUACUGAUGGCCAGUUACAACUCCAUUUCACUAUGGACACUGCAUAUGAUGUUCUUUAUUCUCAGCAAAGCAAACAUCUCAUUUGUUUCUCAUACUAUUAUCUACAAAAAACUAGGCGUUGCUGAAGCUGGAGUCAUGAUGGCAUUAGUAAUCUUGGUGAUGCUUCUUAUAUGGCAAACCAAUUUGUUUUUGAUUAUCCUAUGGGUUAUUUAUCCAGAUGUUGCAUAUAGGAGUAUUGUGGAGCUAAUAAUAUUUGAAUCUGAGCUAGCAUACUAUUUCAAUUUGACUUCAAAAAUUAUAAAUCUUAGUAUUUGUUUUCAGAAGGGGAGCCUUGGCGCAGUGGUAAAGCUGCUGCCUUGUGACCAUGAGGUCACGGGUUCAAGUCCUGGAAACAGCCUCUUGCAGAAAUGUAGGGAAAGGCUGCGUACAAUAGACCCAAAGUGGUUGGACCUUCCCCAGACCCUGCGCAAGCGGGAGCUACAUGCACUGGGGCUGCCCCCCCCUUUAGUAUUUGUUUUCAGUUAUCAAUCUUCUUCCCUUCUCCUUUUUUGGGUCACUUUUGAUAGCUUCUUUCAUUUUGUACAUUUUACUUGCUGCCUCAAGCCUUGGCUCUUUUUCUAGACUAGGCCUCAAUUUAUGGGAAAAUACAGUCUUCAUUUACUGAGUUAUAUUUUUGUCUUGGUUUCUUCCAGGUCCCUCGUACAGUGGUUCAGAAAAAAAACCUAUCCAAUGGAGAUGAUGCAUGAGGAGCGGCAAAGUCAUGAUCCAUAAAGCCCUAUGUUAUUCUUUUUCUCACUGUGAUUUUACUUUUUAUGGUUGGAUGCCAAGUAGCCAAGCAGACGCUUUUUGGUAGAUUAGUUGCUUAGUUUCAUAAGUUGAACUGCGUUGUCGAGUGCAGUGUGUAGGCUCUUUCUCGAUUGCUCAGCAGGCGUCAACGCGGCACAUGUGGAGGUUGUGAGAGUUGUGAAUGGCACCGGUCUUGUCAUACUUAUGAGCAGGAGCAUGGGCCACAUUACUCUUCAUGCCACUCUAAGCAGCCGAGAUGUUGACUGCUGGUUGAGAUUGAUUUCCACGUUGAAUGGAAGGGAGACCUAUUUGAGUUCCUAUAUGAAAGGGUAAAGAAGAAGGGGCAUGUUGUUGUGGUUGUUGCUGAAGGCGUUGGUCAAGAGUUGAUUACCUGGACUGAUGACCAGAACCGAGAGCGGGAUGAGUAUGUCAACAUGUUGUUCUUUGACAUUGGCCUUAAGUUUACAUGCAACUCUCCUCCAUGUUUACUCAUUUCUGUUACCGUUGUUGUAUCAAAACAAUUGUAUUUUUGUUGAUGGCCGCUUGGGCUCAUUUUCAAGGAGAAUGAGAUGUGGGAUAAACUACUCUGAAAUGUUUAGUUCCCUUCAAACAAUUUAUUAGCUAACUAAGUUUGACUGCUGUUGCGCAUCGUAUAAUUGUACUCUGAUGUUGCCAUCUUGCCUUUUAUGUACACAAUCACUUAAACUCUUAUCGUAUGUAUUUGCUCAAACAUAGUUACUAAAAAAAUGCAAAUAUUUUUAACAAGUACAUGGUUUUAAAUGGGACUCUGCGCCAUUUGUCACAAUGGGUCAUGUUAUACAAAUAUAAUUUUUUGGCGCAACGGGUUAUACAUUUUUUUCAAACUUGGAUCUCGCAAUGUGAUAAGAGAUUUUCAAAAUAGCAUGGUUUAACACAUGAGCUUUGUACUACGAGUAUCGAAUAUGCCCUUGCUAAAUGAAACUCGUUUCAUCGACAACAUGACUUUAGCGCGUCUCUGCGCCAUUUGGCGCAAUGGGUCAACUAGUAUAUAUAUAAGUCAUGAAGAAAGCAAUAGCAAUAAAGCUAAACUAUCAUAAUGCUAAGCUAAUGGAUGGGUCUUGUCCAUCACAUCAUUCUCUAAUGAUGUGAUCCCGUUCAUCAAAUGACAACACAUGUCUAUGGUCAGGAAACAUAACCAUCUUUGAUUAACGAGCUAGUCAAGUAGAGGCAUACUAGGGACAUUCUGUUUGUCUAUGUAUUCACACAUGCACUAAGUUUCCGGUUAAUACAAUUCUAGCAUGAAUAAUAAAAAUUUAUCAUGAUAUAAGGAAAUAUAAAUAACAACUUUAUUAUUGCCUCUAGGGCAUAUUUCCUUCAGUCUUCCACUUGCACAAGAGUCAAUAAUCUAGAUUACACAGUAAUGAUUCUAACACCCAUGGAGUCUUGGUACUAAUCAUGUUUUGCUCGUGAGAGAGGCUUAGUCAACGGGUCUGCAACAUUCAGAUCCGUAUGUAUCUUGCAAAUCUCUAUGUCUCCCUCCUUGACUUGAUUGCAGAUGGAAUUGAAGCGUCUCUUGAUGUGUUUGGUUCUCUUGUGAAAUCUGGAUUCCUUCGCCAAGGCAAUUGCUCCAGUAUUGUCACAAAAUAUUUUCAUUGGACCCGAUGCACUAGGUAUUAAACCAAGAUCGGAUAUGAACUCCUUCAUCAGGACUCCUUCAUUUGCUACUUCCGAAGCAGCUAUGUACUCUGCUUCACACGUAGAUCCUGCCACGACACUCUGCUUGGAACUGCACCAACUUACAACUCCAGAAUUCAAAAUAAAUAUGUAUCCGAUUUGCGGCUUAGAGUCAUCCGGAUCAGUGUCAAAGCUUGCAUCGACGUAACCAUUUACGACAAGCUCUUUGUCACCCCCAUAAACGAGAAACAUAUCCUUAGUCAUUUUCAGAUAUUUCGGGAUGUUCUUGACCGCUGUCCAGUGAUCCACUCCUGGAUUACUUUGGUACCUCCCUGCUAAACUUAUAGCAAGGCACACGUCAGGUUUGAUACACAAUAUUGCAUACAUGAUAGAACCUAUGGCUGAGGAAUAGGGAAUGACUUUCAUUUUCUCUCUAUCUUCUGAAGUGGUGGGCAUUGAGUCCAACUCAACUUCACACCUUGUAACAUAGGAAAGAACCCUUUCUUUGACCGAUCCAUUUUGAACUUCUUCAAAAGUUUAUCAAGGUAUGUGCUUUGUGAAAGUCCAAUUAAACGUCUUGAUCUAUCUCUAUAGAUCUUGAUGCCCAAUAUAUAAGCAGCUUCAUCGAGGUCUUUCAUUGAAAAUUCGUAUUCAAGUAUCCUUUUAUGCUAUCCAGAAAUUUUUGUAUUAUUUCCAAUCAACAAUAUGUCAUCCACAUAUAAUAUUAGAAAUGCUACAGAGCUCCCACUCAUUUUCUUGUAAAUACAAGCUUCUCCAAAAGACUGUAUAAAACCAUAUCCUUUGAUCACACUAUCCAAGCGUAUAUUCCAACUCCGAGAGGCUUGCAGCAAUCCAUAAAUGGAUCGCUGGAGCUUGCACACUUUAUUAGCACCUUUAGGAUCGACAAAACCUUCUGGUUGCAUCAUAUACAACUCUUCUUUAAGAAAUCCAUUAAGGAAUGCAGUUUUGGCAUCCAUUUGCCAAAUUUCAUAAUCAUAAAAUGCGACAAUUGCUAACAUGAUUCGGACAGACUUAAGCAUCGCUACGUGUGAGAAGGUCUCAUCGUAGUCAACUCCUUGAACUUGUCGAAAACCUUUUGCAACAAGUCGAGCUUUAUAGAGAGUAACAUUACCGUUAGCGUCAGUCUUCUUCUUGAAGAUCCAUUUAUUUUCUAUGGCUUGCCGAUCAUCGGGCAAGUCAACCAAAGUCCACACUUUGUUCUCGUACAUGGAUCCCAUCUCAGAUUUCAUGGCCUCAAGCCUUUUCACGGAAUCUAGACUCAUCAUCGCUUCCUCAUAGUUCGUAGGUUCGUCAUGGUCAAGUAACAUGACCUCCAAAAUAGGAUUACCAUACCACUCUGGUGCGGAUCAUACUCUGGUUGACCUACGAGGUUCGGUAGUAACUUGAUCUGAAGUUUCAUGAUCAUCAUCGUUAGCUUCCUCACUAAUUGGUGUAGGAAUCAAUGGAACUGAUUUCUGUGAUGAACUACAUUCCAAUUCUGGAGAUGGUACAAUUACCUUAUCUAGUUAUACUUUCCUCCCACUCACAUCUUUUGAGAGAAACUCCUUCUCUAGAAAGGAUCCAUUCUUAUCAACGAAUAUCUUGCCUUCGGAUUUGUGAUAGAAGGUGUACUCAACAGUCUCCUUUGGGUAUCCUACGAAGACACAUUUCUCUGAUUUGGGUUCGAGCUUAUCAGGUUGAAGCUUUUUCACAUAAGCAUCGCAGCCCCAAACUUUAAGAAACAACAGCUUAGGUUUCCUGCCAAACCACAGUUCAUAUGGUGUUGUCUCAACGGAUUUAGAUGGUGCCCUAUUUAACAUGAACGCGGCCAUCUCUAAACCAUAACCCCAAAACGAUAGCGGUAAAUCGGUAAGAGACAUCAUAGAUUGCACCAUAUCUAAUAAAGUACGGUUACGACAUUCGGACACACCAUUACGCUGUGGUGUUCCAAGUGGCGUGAGUUGUGAAACUAUUCCAUAUUGUUUCAAAUGAAGACCAAACUCAUAACUCAAAUAUUCACCUCCACGAUCAGAUCGUAGAAACUUUAUUUUCUUGUUACGAUGAUUUUCCACUUCACUCUGAAAUUCUUUGAACUUUUCAAAUGUUUCAAAAUUAUGUUUCAUUAAGUAGAUAUACCCAUAUCUGCCCAAAUCAUCUGUGAAGGUCAGAAAAUAACGUUACCCGCCACGAGCCUCAACACUCAUCGGACCGCAUACAUCAGUAUGUAUUAUUUCCAAUAAGUCAGUUGCUCGCUCCAUUGUUCCGAAGAACAGAGUCUUAGUCAUCUUGCCCAUGAGGCAGGGUUCGCAAGCAUCAAGUGAUUCUAAAAGCCCAUAAGCAUGGAGUUUCUUCAUGCGCUUUACACCAAUAUGACCUAAAUGGAAGUGCCACAAAUAAUUUGCACUAUCAUUAUUAACUUUGCAUCUUUUGCCUUCAAUAUUAUGAAUAUGUGUAUCACUACAAUUGAGAUUCAAUAAAAAUAGACCACUCAUCAAGGGUGCAUGACCAUAAAAGAUAUUACUCAUAUAAAUAGAACAACCAUUAUUCUCUGAUUUAAAUGAAUAACCGUCUCACAUCAAACAAGAUCCAGAUAUAAUGUUCAUGCUCAACGCUGGUACCAAAUAACAAUUAUUCAGGUCUAAAACUAAUCCCGACGGUAGAUGUAGAGGUAGCAUGCCAACGGCGAUCACAUCGACUUUGGAACCAUUUCCGACAUGCAUUGUCACCUCGUCCUUAGCCAAUCUUCGUUUAAUCCAUAGCUCAUGUUUUGAGUUGCAAAUAUAUGAAACACAACGAGUAUCAAAUACCCAGGCGCUACUAUGAACAUUAGUAAGGUACACAUCAAUAACAUGUAUAUCAAAUACACCUUUCACUUUGCCAUCCUUCUUAUCUGCCAAAUACUUGGGGCAGUUAUGCUUCCAGUGACCAGUCCCUUUGCAGUAGAAGCACUGAGUUUCGGGCUUAGGUCCAGACUUGGGCUUCUUCCCGGGAGCAGCAACUUGCUUGCUAUUCUUCUUGAAGUUCCCCUUCUUCCCUUUUCCCUUUUUUCUUGAAACUAGUGGUCUUGUUAACCAUCAACACUUGAUGCUCCUUCCUGAUUUCUACCUCCGCAUCCUUUAGCAUCGCAAAGAGCUCGGGAAUUGUCUUUUCCAUCCAUUGCAUAUUAUAGUUCAUCACGAAGCCUUUAUAGCUUGGUGGCAGUGAUUAAAGACCCCUGCCAAUGACACUAUCAUCAGGAAGAUUAACUCCCAGCUGAGUGAAGUGGUUAUGGUACCUAGACAGUCUGAGUAUGUGUCCACUGACAUAACUAUUCUCCUCCGUUUUGCAGCUGUAGAACUUGUUGGAGAAUUUAUAUUUUUCAACUUGGGCAUUUUCUUGAAAUAUUAACUUCAACUCCUGGAACAUCUCAUAUGCUCCAUGAUGUUCAAAACAUCUUUGAAGUCCCGAUUCUAAGCCGUAAAGCAUGGCACACUCAACUAUCGAGUAGUCAUCAACUUUGCUCUGCCAGACGUUCAUAACGUCUGGAGUUGCUCCUGCAGCGGGUUUUGCACCUAGUGGUGCUUCCAGGACGUAAUUCUUCUGUGCAGCAAUGAGGAUAAUCAUCAAGUUAUGGACCCAGUCCGUGUAGUUGCUACCAUCAUCUUUCAACUUAGCUUUCUCUAGGAACGCAUUAAAAUCAAGGGAACGGUAGCACGGGCCAUUGAUCUACAACAACAUAGAUAUGCAAAAACUAUCAGGUACUAUAUUCAUGAUAAAUUAAAGUUCAAUUAAUCAUAUUACUAAAGAACUCCUGCUUAGAUAGACAUCCCUCUAGUCAUCUAAAUGAUCAUGUGAUCCAUAUCAACUAAACCAUGUCCGAUCAUCACGUGAGAUGGAGUAGUUUUCAAUGGUGAACAUCACUAUAUUGAUCAUAUCUACUAUAUGAUUCACGUUCGAACUUUCGGUCUGAGUGUUCCGAGGCCAUAUCUGCAUAUGCUAGGCUCGUCAAGUUUAACCCGAGUAUUUUGCACGUGCCAAACUGGCUUGCACCCGAUCAUCACGUGGUGUCUCGGCACGACGAACUAUAGCAACGGUGCAUAUUGUGACACCCCCGAUUCAAUCAUACACUAAUCAUAUACACAAACAUGUACGAUCAAGAUCAGGAACUCACGGGAAGAUAUCACAACACAACUCUACAAAUAAAAUAAGUCAUACAAGCAUCAUAUUACAAACCAGGGGCCUCGAGGGCUCGAAUACAAGAGCUCGAUCAUAGACGAGUCAGCGGAAGCAACAAUAUCUGAGUACAGACAUAAGUAAACAAGUUUGCCUUAAGAAGGCUUGCACAAACUGGGAUCCAGAUCGAAAGAGGCGCAUGCCUCCUGCCUGGAAUCCUCCUAAACUACUCCUGGUCAUCGUCAGCAGCUUGCACGUAGUAGUAGGCACUGUCGUGGAUCUAAGACUGACAGUAGAAUGGGGGGUAGGUACGAGGAGGCAAGAUCCUAGCUAUGGCAAAGUUGCACACACGAGUUUACGAGUUCAGGCCCUUCGCGGAGGAAGUAACGACCCUACGUCUCGGUGCCCGGAGGCGGUCGACUGGAUUAUGUAUGUGUGUGUUUUACAGAGGGUGCGAACCCUUGUGCCAGUGGAGGGGGGUGGCUUAUAUAGAGUGUGCCAGGACCCCAGCCAUCCCACGUUACAAAGGAUUUAAAGUACAUUAAGAAAGAGGCAUUACUGGUAACGCUAGCAAUUAAGUGAUAUAAACACCUAUUAAGUCUAUGAAAUAAACUUCCGACCGUUGCCAUGCAGAGUGACUUUAGAUCUUCUGCUGUCGAGUGAUAAUUGCUGUGGUCGAGUGACUUUGAAUCUUCCGGGUGGAACGGCUUGUAGUCGAUUGGAUGAUGCUAUCCCUUGAAUGCUUCUGGUUUUAAGAUGGUGUCCUAGGGGAAGGUGUCUAGGUCAGGCCCAUGACCCUACCCUAGGUACAUAGCUUCAUCAUUAGCCCCCGAAUAGUUCAGGGUUUGAAUGGAGAAGGAGUUGAGAGCACCUCCGAUUCAAUUUUCGCGCUUCAAAAGCGCCUUAUGGGGACCAAAUGAACAACCAUGAUGACAACAACUUCUUUUUUAGUCGCCUUGAUCCAUUCUUGGUUCUGCCGAGUGAACUUUACUGUGAUGUCUUGAGUACUGAUAUGAAAUAAAUCUUCCGCCUGACAGGUUGCCCUGCUGCUCGCGGAUAUCAUGGGAUUCGUAUUUUGGGGAAGCGCGCGGGACGGAGGAGGCCGCAGUAAUCAGAUGGGAUUAGGCGAGGCCGCCUCGAUCACCGUGCCACCUUUUUCGCCACGUACCUCACACACGACUGUUGCGGGAUUUUAUAGGAUCGUCCGUACCCACAGGUUAGUCACUCGGAAGCGGCCUCAGAUAAGGUGCCAGAUUGGGGUUUUGUGGACAACGCGUCCCCAUUCUCCUCCUUUCUCUUCUACUCUCUCCGCCAUACCCACUUCUGCUCCCGAUGUCACUGCUCCCUUCGAGUUUUGCCCGCGACCAUGGGGAAGGAGAAGAUGGUGGCUCUAGAGUGUGCGAAGAAGGCGACGACGAAGGUGAAGGGGAAGAAGUCCAGCUAGGGCGGAUCUUCAUCGAGUUCCUGUCUGCCGCACAGCUGGAUCCAGGGCGACUGGAUCCGGUCGAUGAUCAGUUAGGACGACAUCGACGAUCUGGUCGAGGGGGGGGGGCUGAUUCCCCACGAAUCGGCGCGGCUCUCGGAAGGCGAGACCGAUCCGCAUCCGCGAGAGGGUGAGUGCGUUCUCCUCGCCACCCAUGUUAACCGUGGAUUUUCUCUGCCUCCCCAUCCUUUUUUCCGGGGAUUGUUGAACUUCUUUGGAGCACAACCCCACCACUUUACUCCCAACACCAUCAUAUAUCUCGCCGCCUAUGUGUCCAUGUGCGAGAACUUCUUAGGUUGUAGGCCACACUGGGGUCUUUUCUAGCACAUUUUCACGUGUCGUUCCCAGUCGGUCAAGAAGGCCAACCCGAGUGACGAGAGGACACAUGUGAUUCAGAUGUGCGGGGGUCUUGGGAUUCAAAUGAGAGUUAAAAGCACUUUCCCAGCCAUGAUCCUUCCUAAGUCAGUCCGAGGAUGGCAGUCGACCUGGUUUUAUUGCAAAGACCAGCCGACUCUAGGUCAGUCGACCGGACUUCCUGCUUUCUCCAUGGCUCGGGUCGAGAAGCCCUCAGCCUUGAAAGUGAUCCCAGAGGAGAGGGCGUAGGUGAAGGUGUUGGUCGAGCGGGUGGUCCAGCUCGUCCGGGAUGGCGUGACCGGUAUGGAUCUGUUAGAGGUCUUCCUUAAACGAGGCAUCCAGCCGCUCCAAGCCCGUGACCAUCCGAUGUGGAUGUACUCAGGUAUUGAGGAUUCCACUCGGAUCCACCCGGAGGAGGUCGACGAGGACACGGUGGAGAAGUGGCUGAAAGGCAUCACUGGCAAUAAGGAUAACCCCAGGGGGUCCAGGAGAGUCGCUCCAUUCGACAAUUUGCGCCAGCCAGACCAGGUCCGACUUUGGAUUGCCGAGUGUUUUCUUGAUUUAUCAUGUAAUCGCUUGUUGACAACCGACUAAUUUUUGCUUCGCUUGUUAUCUUUCAGGCCCUUACUGAGAUGUACUCGAUGCCCAACAGAGAGCAGGAGCAGGAUCCAGAGGGGGAAGCGAGCGGGGGCGAGAGCAGCAAAUGGCACUCUGAGGAGGAGGAGGACGAGAAGAGUGACGACCCAAGUGAUGAAGAAGAGGUCAACUCGCCUCCUCAUAGAGAAAAAAGAUCCAAGCACACUCACGACCCAGCAAGCAUCCAUGACAAAGCGACCGCACCGACUGGGCAGUCGUCGAAGCGCCCCCGGACGUCUUCUCCAGUGCCGACUGAGAGGGCACCGAAGCAACCGAAAGUUGCAUCGUCUCCAGCGUUGAAACAACCGAAGGAUGCGUCAUCCAAACCGCCGAAGGCUUUGCCCAAGAUCAAAGUGGCCAUUCCUACUAUCUCUGGGUAAUAAUCAAACCCGAUUCUUUGGUUGACUCACUGCAACAAACGUGACCGACUGAAUAUUGAAAUUUGCAGAGCUGCUACCUCCGGGACUUCCACCCACAAGUACGAAGACGAAGAGAUGGAAGAUGCAGUUACCUCCAACCCAGGUACAACUCUCGUAAUCCUGUCCUUCGUUACUUGGUCGAUUAAAUUCUGACGACUGAUCUGGGGUCGACUGAUUUCUUUGCAGCCCCUCCUAAUAUCAUUGAGCUUCCUGAUGAUGACGAGGACGUGCCGCCGAGGCCCAGAAGGAACAAGAAGGUGUCAGUUGGCAAGGAAUCCCAAUCAUAACCGGCGGCAGAACCAGAAGUUCGACAACUUGAAGAUCUGAGCAGGGUUUCUGUUACUUUUGCCGAUCCAAUGUCGAGUGUAUGCCUCACAUCGUCGACUGUGCCGAUGCCUUCUUCAACCGUCCAACUUCAUAACUCAGAACUUCAAACUGCUGUGUCUGGACUGUCAGUCCCGUUCUUCACUACCCAUCACAUUCCAGAAAGCCAGGCGGACGCCGCUGCAGAAGCCAUUCGCCAGGCUGGUAUAAUGAUGGAGCGGGUGAAGGUGGUGCACGAAAACAGUCAGGCUGCUUGUGACGCCAGCGCGGCCCUUCGAGCUAAUGUCCAAGCAAGUUGGCCUCCGACUGAACUUAUUCUGUUAGGAUAUGCUACCUGAAUAAUUUUUCUCCGUGUAAUCUCUUGUUGUCCUACACUUUGCAUCUGCACACCCACUGGGUGUUUUGUCAUCUUUUUUGUUUUCACUCUUCCACUCAGUCUAGGCGGACCGUGUUGAGUGGAAUCUGAACCAGUGGGGGCACGCUAAGUGCACCCACUAGGUGUAGUCCCCGAGACCACAGUCAACUGCUGGCAGUCGGUUGGGGUCUGAACACUUCUUUCUCUUUUUGUUUCCACUCGGUCUAGGCGGACCGUGUCGAGUGGAAUCUGGACCAAUGGGGGCACGCUAAGUGCACCCACUGGGUGUAGUCCCCGAGACUACUGUAGAAUGUUUGAUUCUGCGGUAGUCUUUAAAAUUUUAUUCACUCGGAGGUAAAUAAUCUUUGAUCUUGUUCACUGACACGUCUUUUACUUAUUGCAAAAAUCCUGUGCGCCUAUCUCCAAAUUCGUUGAAUUCGAGGAAAAGCAGAGGCAACUCAACCUUGACUUAGAGCUAGCCCGGCAGAACUUAAAAAAGGCUCAAGAUGAAGUUGCCGGUACGGAAGGUAACGGCCUGUCGACUACUUAUCUCGACCAUCCUUCAAGUUAUCCCUUCGUUCUUCUGUUUGACCCAAAUGUGUGUUUCGCAGAGAAAAUGAGGCUGGCUCUGGAGAAGGACCUCGACCUUGCAGCUGCGCAAAAGGAGGCUCAGGAGAAGACUACCCUUGCUGACAAAAAGUUGGCUUCGGUUGGAUCGCUAGAGGAGGAAAUAACCAAGCUGAAGUCUUCUCUUACUAAAUCCAACCGAGAGGCGACUCGUCUGAAGAAGGAUAAGGUGACUCUGAACGAGCAGCUGGAAAGCAUGUCUCAUAGGAGAAACGACUUGGAAGCUUAUCUGAAAGCCCCCACCAAGAAGCUCUUCCUUAUGCUCGAAGGUACCCCCUUUUAUCCGACCGUUUCACUGUUUGCAGGUCACUGCGGACCAGUCGACUCAUUAACUCCUUGAAUCUGCAGAAUUCUGCCAAAACUUUGAAGAGGAAACUGGGCGGGUCGAGACGGGCUUGGAUCCCAUCCUUUCUCCAGUCGGCAAUGAGGCUGCCAUGAAUGUGCUUCGACUGGAAUCUCGUGUUGCUAGUGUUACCAGUUAUCUUGCUCACUUGAAGGUAGCGACGUCACGCAUUGACACAUCACUCUGGCCAAGGGCAACGCUUCAGAAUGAUCUUGAGUCUCUAAUGACUCGACUCAAUGAGGUUCCUGGUCGAGUGCAGGAAUGGAAGAAGUCUUCUACCCGAUGCGGUGCUGACGUGGCCCUGUCGUUGGUUAGGGUCCACUGCAAAGAAGCACGAGAAGAGAAGUUGGCGGCGAUCAAGGUUGCUAACACCAAAAGACACGACUUCCAAUCCUUCAUGGAGACUUUCAUUGAUGCUGCCACUCGGAUCGCUUACGGGAUCAAUCUGGAUGAGUUCGUCGAUCCUGCAAGCCCUCCUCCUGCGGAGUGAACAAACUUGAUACCUCGCCUUAAAUUUGCCUCGGAAUGCCGAGUGAUUUUGUAACCGUUAAACUCCUUCGGGCCUGAUGCCCGAGUACUUUUAUCUUCGUCCUGAAACUUUUAAGAUUUUAACCGAACUUGGUUUAUAUUCUGCAUGUGCUUGCGUUUGCCUUCGAGUGGAACUUGUUCUUCACUCAGAAUAUUCUUUGAACUUGAGAUGCAAUUCUAAGGGAGAUAUCACAGUCGACCUGCACCUCGUCGUCCUUGCGGAUAGGUAUGGAGCGCAUGUUGUACUUGUGGCGCAGCUCCAAGGAGAGGGUUGUAGUCGACCUGCACCUCGUCGUCCUUGCGGAUAGGGAUGGAGCGCAAGUUAUACUUGUGGCACAGUUCCGAGGAGAGGAUUGUAGUCGACCUGCACCUCAUCGUCCUUGUGGAUAGGGAUGGAGCACACGUUGUACUUGUGGCGCAGCUCCGAGGAGAGGGUUGCAGUCGACCUGCACCUCGUCGUCCUUACGGAUAGGGAUUUUUUUCAAACUUAGGUGAGUAUUGGACUAUAGCUAAGCCCCCGAGUGUGAGGUUUGCUCAUCGCUCGGUAGGAUUUUUUUAAACUUAGGCGAGUACUGGACUACAGCUAAGCCCCCGAGUGUGAGGUUUGCUCAUCACUCGGUAGGAUUUUUUAAACUUACGCGAGUACUGGACUGCAGCUAAGCCCCCGAGUGUGANNNNNNNNNNNNNNNNNNNNNNNNNNNNNNNNNNNNNNNNNNNNNNNNNNNNNNNNNNNNNNNNNNNNNNNNNNNNNNNNNNNNNNNNNNNNNNNNNNNNNNNNNNNNNNNNNNNNNNNNNNNNNNNNNNNNNNNNNNNNNNNNNNNNNNNNNNNNNNNNNNNNNNNNNNNNNNNNNNNNNNNNNNNNNNNNNNNNNNNNNNNNNNNNNNNNNNNNNNNNNNNNNNNNNNNNNNNNNNNNNNNNNNNNNNNNNNNNNNNNNNNNNNNNNNNNNNNNUUAGGUGAGUACUGGACUGCUGCUAAGCCUCUGAGUGAGAGGCUUGCUCACCACUCGGUAGGAUUUUUCAAACUUAGGCGAGUACUGGACUGCAGCUAAGCCUCCGAGUGUGAGGCUUGCUCACCACUCAGUAGGAUUUUUCAAACUUAGGCGAAACGGAUUCACAGCUAAGCCCCCGAGUGAGAGGCUUGCUCACCACUCGGUAGGACUUUUCAAACUUAGGCGAGUAUUGGACUGCAACUAAGCCUCCGAGUGAUAGGCUUGCUCACCACUCGGUAGGAUUUUUCAAACUUAGGCGAAACGGAUUCGGAGCUAAGCCCCCGAGUGAGAGGCUUUCUCAUCACUCGACGGGAUUUGUUAAACUUAGGCAAAACGGAUUUGCAUCUAAGGCACCCACUGGGGGAUUUAGAACAUAAACAUAAAAGAGAACAAUGAUUAUUUAUGAGACUGUAAAACCGUGUCUUUGAUAAUCAAACUAAGGGAUACUUCUUAUUACAUCUCAAUAGUCUGAAUGCUUAAGUGUAAAAGGGUGGAGCAACUCUGCAUUCCAAGCGCGUGGCUCGUCUUUCUUAUGCUCGACGUUGUAGAGGUGGUACGCUCCGUUGUGGAGCACUCUGGUAAUGAUGAAAGGACCUUCCCAAGUAGGGGCGAGCUUGUGUGGUUUCUGCCGAUCCACUCGAAGAACCAAAUCUCCUUCCUGAAAUGCUCGAUCGCUCACGUUUCUGGCGUGAAAUCGACGCAAGUCUUGCUGAUAAAUGGUCGAUCGAAUCAGAGCCAUCUCUCUUUCCUCUUCUAGGAGAUCAACUACGUCUUGCCGAGCCUGUUGUGCUUCAUCUUCUGAGAAAAGCUUGACUCUGGGUCCAUUGUGAAGCAAGUCACUCGGAAGCACAGCUUCAGCUCCAUAGACUAAGAAGAAUGGUGUUCGACCAGUCGACCGAUUUGGAGUCGUCCUCAAACCCCAAAGUACUAAUGGAAGUUCAUCGACCCAGGCGCCUGCCGCAUGCUUGAGGUCACACAUCAGUCGGGGUUUCAGUCCUUUGAGGAUUAAUCCGUUUGCUCUUUCAUCUUGUCCAUUCGACUGGGGAUGGUCGACCGAUGCAUAGUUGACUCGAGUGCCUUGGGAAGCACAGAAGGCUCUGAACUCAUCCGAAUCGAAGGUCGAGCUGUUGUCAGUGAUGAUGCUAUGCGGAACACCAUAUUUGAAUGUUAACUCUCUGAUGAAACUGACCGCAGUACUGGAUUCAAGACUUUUGAUAGGUUUGGCUUCAAUCCAUUUGGUGAAUUUGUCGACUGCCACGAGUACAUGAGUGAAGCCGCUCCUACCCGUUCUUAGAGGUCCAACCAUGUCCAAACCCCAAACAGUGAAGGGCCAGGCAAGUGGAAUGGUCUUCAGGGCUGACGCAGGCUUGUGAGACAUGUUGGAGUAAAACUGGCAGCCUUCACAUUUGUCAACUAUUUCUUGUGCCAUCUCAUUUGCCCGUGGCCAAUUAUAUCCUGCUCGGUAUCCUUUGGCUACAAUGGUCUGAGAGGACGCAUGGUGACCAUAGGUCUCCGAGUGGAUGUCGUUGAGGAUCACUCGACCUUCCUCUAGUGUUAUGCAUUUCUGGCUGACUCCAGUUAGACUUUCUUUGAACAACCGCCCUCUUAUCACAGUAAAAGCUUUGGAUCGGCGGACGACCUGCCGGGCCUCUUCUUCGUCCUCUGGUAGUGCCUUCCUGAGGAUGUAUGCAAUGUACAGCACUGUCUAGUGGGGAGUGAUGACCAAAACCUCCAUGAUCAAGUCGACCACGGCCGGGACUUCGACUUCAGUCGGAUCAGCGGUACUCUUUGGCUACGGGGGCUCUUCAGUGAAAGGAUCUUCCUGGACUGAAGGUGUAUGAAUAUACUCCAAAAACACAUUACUGGGAAUGGCUUCUCUCUUAGAACCUAUCUUUGCCAAAUCAUCCGCUGCUUGAUUUUUCAGUCGGGGUAUAUGGUGGAGUUCUAAACCCUCGAACUUCUUUUCUAACAUUCUCACCGCAUUGCAGUAGCCAGUCAUAGCUGGGCUUCUGACGUCCCACUCCUUCACUACUUGAUUCACCACCAAAUCUGAGUCGCCGUAGACCAUGAGGCGACGGACGCCGAGUGAAAUGGACAUACGCAACCCAUACAAAAGUGCCUCAUAUUCAGCUUCGUUGUUGGAGGAAUCGAAAUGAAUUUGGAGAACAUAGCAGAGCUUGUCGCCUCAGGGGGAUACCAAUACCACCCCAACAACAGAACCAUUCAACAUCUUGGAUCCAUCGAAGAACAUGGUCCAGUGGUCCAAGUGAAUCUGAGUCGACAGUUGCUGUUCGAUCCACUCGGCGAGGAAAUCCACUAUUGCCUGGGACUUGAUAUCUUUCUUUGCCUCAAACUUGAUAUCCAAGGGAAGGAGUUCAAUCGCCCAUUUUGCCACUCGACCAGUUGCAUCUCUGUUGUUCAAAAUUUCCGACAAUGGGGCGUCGCUGACGACUGUAAUGGAGUGAUCGGAGAAAUAACGUGCAACCCUCUUCAUGGUCAUGUAAAUCCCAUAAACAAGCUUCUGAUAAUGUGGAUAUCUUUUCUUGGAUGGAGUUAAAACUUCCAAAACAUAAUAUACUGGGCGUUGAACUUUAUAGGCUUUUCCUUCUUCUUCCCGCUCGACCGUGAGUACUAUACUGACAACUUGUCCAGUGACUGCAAUGUAAAGCAGUAAAGGCUCUUUGCUGAUUGGGGCAGCGAGCACCGGCUGGGUGGAAAGCAAGGCUUUGAGAUCUGAAAAUGCCGCAUCAGCUUCAGGAGUCCACUCGAACUUGUCAGAUUUCUUCAUCAGUCGGUAAAGAGGCAAUGCCUUUUCACCGAGGCGAGAAAUGAAUCCACUCAAGGCGGCCAAACAACCAGUAGGCUUCUGGACAUCAUGCACGCGCACAGGGCGCUUCAUCCGGAGUAUGGCACCAACUUUCUCUGGGUUCGUGUCGAUCCCUCGUUCGGAAACGAGGAAGCCGAGUAACUUUCCGCCAGGAACUCCGAAAGUACACUUUGAUGAGUUAAGCUUGAUAUCAUAUCUUCUCAAGUUGGCAAAGGUUUCAGCAAGGUCAGUCAGCAGGUUGGAACCUUUGUGCGACUUGACCGCAAUGUCAUCCAUGUAUGCUUCCACAUUCCGAUUGAUUUGAGUGAGCAGACACUUUUGAAUCAUCCUCAUGAAUGUGGCCCCAGCGUUCUUGAGACCAAAUGGCAUGGUGACAUAACAAAAACACCCGAAUGGAGUGAUGAAAGCUGUUUUUAUCUCAUCGGGUCCAUACAGUCAGAUCUGAUGCUACCCGGAAUAGGCGUCUAGGAAAGACAAACGCUCACACCCCCUAGUCGAGUCAAUAAUUUGGUUGAUACAAGGGAGAGGAAAAUGAUCUUUCGGGCAGGCCCGAUUGAUAUGCUGGAAGUCAAUGCACAUGCGAAGUGAGUCGUCCUUCUUGGGGACCAUAACAACAUUGGCGAGCCACUCGGAGUGGUAAAUCUCGUGGAUGAACUCAGCUGCCAGGAGCCGAGCCACUUCCUCACCAAUUGCUUUUCUCUUCUGUACGGCGGACCGUCGAAGAUGUUAUUUGACUGGUUUUACUUUCGGGUCGACUUGCAAACGAUGCUCAGCCAGUCCCCUGGGUAGACCCGGCAUGUCAGAAGGUUUCCAUGCAAAGAUGUCCGAGUUCUCACGGAGGAACUGGAUGCGCGCUUCUUCCUAUUUGAUGUCGAGUGAAGUUGAAAUAUGAGUAGGAGCAGCAUUAGGAUCAGUCGGGUGAAUAUGAAUCGACUUGGUUUCACCAGACGACUAAAAUGCAGAAUCAGUGGCAGGCUUCUUGGAGCGCAGCAAAUCACUCGGAUCUGCAUUUUUCUGGUAUUCUUGCAUUUCGACUGCCGCCAUUUGUGCAUCAGCAAUUUUUGAGCCCUUCUGGAAGCACUCUUCUGCUUUCUGCCAAUUUCCAGUGAUAAUGAUCACUCCUCUGGGACUAGGCAUUUUCAAUUUGAGGUAUACGUAACAUGGUCGAGCCAUGAAACGUGCAUAGGCAGGCCUACCCAGAAUGGCAUGAUAAGCACUCUUGAAAUCUACCACUUCAAAUGUCAACUUUUCUUUGCAGUAAUUCUUGGAAUCGCUGAAAACCACAUCAAGGGCGAUCUGGCUGAGUGAUUCAGCCUUCUUGCCGGGUAUAACGCCAUGGAAACUCAUAUUACUUUCGCUGAGCUUGGAUAUCGGAAUCCCCAUUCCCUUCAAGGUUUCAGCAUAAAGGAUAUUCAGGCCGCUACCACCAUCCGUCAGCACUUUAGUCAGUUGAGUGCCUUCAACAACUAGGUCGACCACCAACGCUUGCCUCCCAGGGGUGGCUAUACGUGCUGGAUGGUUAGACUGGUCGAAUGUGAUGGUAGUCUGGGACCACUUCAAAUAACUUGGUGUUGCUGGAGCAACCAUGUUCACUUCUCCGUUGAUAACUUUCAAUCGACUUUUGCUCUCAACAUCAGUGAAAAUCAUCAGAGUGGAGUUGACGUUAGGGAAACCGUCAUCAUCCUCUUCCUUGUCCUCAUCCUUGUCCGACUCCUUUUCCUUCUCUUUGGGUUGCUUCUCUCGGAAUUGCUGGAUCAGGAGUCGACACUGUUGAGUGGUGUGCUUGGGAUAAAUCAAAUUACCCUCUUCAUCUUUCUUGGUGUGAAUGUGACAUGGCAAAUCCAACACAUCAUUUCCGUCUUGAUAUUUCACUUUCUUGGGAUUCCAGGACCCUUUGGGCUUUCCCUUGAACUUUCCUUGAGCCACAACUAAGGCCUCACCAGGAGCAACUAGCUCGGCCUUACGCUUCUGUUUCCGAUUGGAAGUACCUCCACCGGUGUCCUGGGCGACUGUUUUGUGCUUGCCACUCUGGAGUCGGCCUUCCUCUUCGUCGUUAGAGUAUUUGGUUGCAAUCUCCAUCAUCCGAGUCAGAGUCAUAUCUCCUGUCCGACCGAAUUUCAGAUUCAACUCUCGAUACUUAACGCCUUCCUUGAAGGCACAGAUUGCUUGGUGAUAUGACACAUUUUCCACUGUAUGGUGUAAUGUGAUCCAUCUCUGUAUAUAAUAUCUCAAGGUUUCAUUCGGUUUCUGUACACAACACUGCAAUUCUGUCAAUCCUGUCGGUCACUUGCAAGUACCUUCAAAAGUUCUAACAAACACUCUAGCGAGUUCUUCCCAACUGUAUAUGCUACCAGGUGCUAGUUGGUUCAGCAACGCCCUGGUCGAGCCAUCUAGCAUGAGAGGGAGGUGCUUCAUUGCCACUUCAUCAUUGCCACCACCAAUUUGCACAGCCACUCGGUAAUCUUCAAGCCAAGUGUCAGGCUUAGACUCACCGGUGAACUUGCUGACUCCAGUCGCCAACCUGAAGUUGGGAGGAAUCACUGCAGCCCUGAUGGCUCUGCUGAAACACUCGGGAUCGGAAACGUGCACUCUGCUGCCAGUUGGAUAAUCUCUGUCAUGACCUUCUCUAUGCGCUCUAUUCCUGUCAACCAGACCUUUAACGAGAAUAGAUCUCGCAUCAAAGCGUGGCUCUCUUGGGUCGACUGGUACUCUUCGCUCCCCACUGUGGGGGCGCCUGUCAUCCUGCCGCUGAGGCACGUAUGACCCACUCCUCGGAGGAGGUGUGGGCACUCGAUGAUGGUCAUCGUGGCCGAGUCGGUGAUCAUACUGCUCGCGGUUUCUGUACUGAUCCUGCCGGUGCCCACGUCCCUCACGCCGUGGAGGCGAUCUUGGGCUGUGAGCUGACAGGAUUGUGUCUGCCACCACAGACCUGCUAUGGAUCCUACUCCGCGACUGAGAUACUACUGUAUUCUACUCUCCAGCUACUCGAAGCAAGGCUCGGAUCUGCAUCAAACCCCUGUCUGCCUCCGACUGGGAAGGCUGGAUUGACUCUGCUAUUCGGGCUGCGGCUGUGAGAUUUUGGAUCGGAGUGCGGUAUACCUAAGUUUGAGGUGGAAAAAGCUGUCAUCGACAGGAUUCAGGGAUCUGUUGCCGAGCACGUUCGUCGAGUGCAUGCUGUAGGUUCUCCAGUCGAGUGCGCUCAGCCAAGUUGGCCAGGCGCGCUUCCUCCAGGGCCUGGGCCUUGGGGGUUUCUCCAACGAUAGGAGUGUGAAGUGCAUCCAUGUUGCGGCGGCGAAGCUCUUCCCUCCGCUAUGAAGAAAGGGGCUCGGGGAGGCACUCCUCGUGAACACGCAACGGAUCGCCGCCACCAUCGCCACCGUCGUUGCGGGGGAAGCCAGGAGGACUGGGUGGUCCGUCGACCAUCAAGACUUCUGCCGCGGGAUCGCCGUUGUCGCAUUCGGAUGCGGUCUCGACGGAGCCAAUCGAACAGGCCAUAGAGAGAUUCGUCUGGCUCAAUGGCCGCGACAUGUGAGAUGGCCGACUGGUGGGCCACUGCAUGCCUCACCCACCGCUGGAGCCGCGACCGACCGGAACGCUUGUGCCGGCGAGUGGCGGGGGAUGAAGACACCACAGGAACCGACCGAAACUGGGUCGACGGUUACCGGAGAAGGACGCCACGGAUGCACGCGUGAAAGUGCGUCGCCCCAUGGACGAGGAGCGCAUCGACGUCGAGCGGAGCUUCCUGGAGCCAGGUGGAGUCGUCGGUGAUGAACACGAGCGCACCGAGAUAGAUCUUGCGGCCCUCAACUAGUCCGCCGACGGAAACCAUGACAAUGAGAAUUGGAAAAAAUUGCAACUCCACCAGAAAGUCGCUAAGACACCUACCCCAUGGUGGGCGCCAACUGUCGUGGAUCUAAGACUCACAAUAGAAUGAGGGGUAGGUAUGAGGAGGCAAGAUCCUAGCUAUGGCGAAGUUGUACACACGAGUUUACGAGUUCCGGCCCUUCGCGGAGGAAGUAACAGCCCUACGUCUCGGUGCCCAGAGGCGGUCGACUGGAUUAUGUAUGUGUGUGUGUUUAUAGAGGGUGUGAACCCUUGUGCCAGUGGAGGGGGGGUUGCUUAUAUAGAGUGCGCCAGGACCCCAGCCAACCCACGUUACAAAGGGUUUAAAGUACAUUAAGAAAGAGGCGUUACUGGUAACGCUAGCAAUUAAGUGAUAUAGAUGCCUAUUAAGUCUAUGAAAUAAACGUCCGACCAUUACCGUGCAGAGUGACUUUAGAUCUUCUGUCGUCGAGUGAUAAUUGCUGUGUUCGAGUGACUUUGAAUCUUCUGAGUGGGACGGCUUGUAGUUGAGUGGAUGAUGCUAUCCCUCAAAUGCUUCUGGUUUUAAGAUGGUGUCCUAGGGGAGGGUGUCUAGGUCAGGCCCAUUACCCUACCCUAGGUACAUAGCUUCAUCAGGCACCUCCGGAGUAGUAGUAGUCGUCAUCGACAGUGGCGUAUGGCUCCUAGACUCCAACAUCUGGUCGCAACAAUCAGAUAUAGAAAGGGGGUAAAGGGGGAGCAAAGCAAUCGUGAGCACUCAUCCAAAGUACUCGCAAGCAAGGAGCUACACUACAUGUGCAUUAGUAUCAAUGAAAGGGGGUAGUAUAUGUGGACUGAACUGCAGAAUGCCGGAAUAAGAGGGGGAUAGCUAGUCCUGUCGAAGACUACGCUUCCGGCAGCCUACAUCUUGUAGCAUGUAGAAGAGAGUAGAUGGUAAGUUCACCAAGUAGCAUCGUAUAGCAUAAUCCUACCCGACGAUCCUCCCCUCGUCGCCCUGUGAGAGAGCGAUCACCGGGUGUAUCUGGCACUUGAAAGGGUGUGUUUUAUUAAGUAUCCGGUUCUAGUUGUCAUAAGGUCAAGGUACAACUCCGGGUCAUCCUUUUACCGAGGGACACGGCUAUUCGAAUAGAUAACUUCCCUGCAGGUGUGCACCACAUUUCCCAACACGCUCGAUCCCCUUUGUCCGGACACAAUUUCCUGGGUCAUGCCCGGCCUCGAAAGAUCAACACAUCACAUCCCUACCUAGGCACAACAGAGAGGUCAGCACGCCGUCUAAAUCCUAUGGCGCGGGGGUCUGGCCCAUCGCCCAUUGCACACCUGCAAGUUGCGUACGCGGCCGGUGAGCAGACCUAGCCUCCCUUAUACAAGAGCAGGCAUUCCAGUCCAACCCGGCGUGCGCCGCUCAGUCGCUGACAUCACGAAGGCUUCGGCAGAUACCACGACAUCGAGUGCCCAUAACUGUUCCCGCGUAGUUGGUUAGUGCAUAUAGGCCAGUGGCCAGACUCAGAUCAAAUACCCAGAUCUCGUUAAGUGUGUUAUUUUGAAGUAACAGCGGACGCCGACCAGGGCCAGGCCCACCUCUCUCCUAGGUGGUCUCAACCUGCCCUGUCGCUCCGCCACAAAGUAGCAAUUGGGGGUCGUCGGGAACCCAGGCCCACCACUACCUGGGUGGAACCACCUGCCCCUUUAGCCCCCAACAUCGGAAUCACGUGCGGGUACUCAACAAGCCGACCCGACUUUAGUCACCACAAGUAUAUUAUACUAUGUAUAUAAGUAUAUACCCAUGAUCACCUCCCAAGUGAUCACGGCCCGAUAGUAUAGCAUGGCAGACGGACAAGAAUGUAGGGUCACUGAUGAUAAACUAGCAUCAUAUACUAAGCAUUUAGGAUUGCAGGUAAGGUAUCAACAGCUGUAGCAACAAUGACAGGCUAUGCAUCAGAAUAGGAUUAACGGAAAGCAGUAACAUGCUACACUACUCUAAGGCAAGCAGUAGAGAGAAGAGUAGGCGAUAUCUGGUGAUCAAGGGGGGGGGGCUUGCCUGGUUGCUCUGGCAAGAAAGAGGGGUCAUCAACAGCGUAGUCAAUCAGGGCACCAGCAGCGGCGUCAGUCUCGUAGUCUAUCGGAGAGAAGAGGGGGAAGAAACAAUGGAUAUAAUGCAAACAGAUGCAUAGCGAUGCAUGACAUGACAAGUAGCGGUGCUGGGUGCCCUAACGCGGUAUGAGGUGAUACCGGUGAAGGGGGAAAACAUCCGGGAAAAUAUCCCCGGUGUUUCGCAUUUUUGGACAGAUGAAUUGAAGGGGGAAAGUUGCGUGUUCUCUAUGCUAGAGAUGCGUGGCGGAUGAACGGGUAGCGCAUCUGGAUACGUCUCGUCGUUCUGAGCAACUUUCAUGUACAAAGUUUUUCCAUACGAGCUACUAUUUAUUUUAUAUUGAUUUUAAUGAUUUUUAGCAUUUAUUUAAUUAUUUUAAUCCAACAUUAUCCAGAACAGUGCAUGCUGACGUCAGCAGUCAACAAAGGUUGACUGGUCAACCUGACGUGUGGGUCCCACAUGUGAGUGACACAUUUUAAUUAACCAUUUUUAGUUAACCUAACCAGGAUUAAUUAGGGAUGGGCCCCACUGUCAUUGACUACUUAUUUUGCUAAUUAACUAAUUAGGUUAAUUAAUAUUAUAAUCAAUGUUUUAAUUAUUUUUAUAAAUGUUUUAAAGUGUGGGGCCCGCAUGUCAUUGACUGCUUUAACUAAACUAACAGUAGCUAAUUUAGGUUAACUAAUCCAGAUUAAUUAAAUUAAUUAAAUAAUCAAUUAAUAUUUUAAAUUAAUCAUUUCUUAUUUAUCGUUAUUAUUUCUUACUAAGUUAUUUUUAAAAUUUUCGUUCUGGGGCGCAGGGGCCCCGCUGGCAGUGGCCCAUCUGGCCACUGGAGCGGCUAUCGGGGCCACGGGAGCGGGCCGCUCGCCCGGACGGGCACGAGCAAGAGNNNNNNNNNNNNNNNNNNNNNNNNNNNNNNNNNNNNNNNNNNNNNNNNNNNNNNNNNNNNNNNNNNNNNNNNNNNNNNNNNNNNNNNNNNNNNNNNNNNNNNNNNNNNNNNNNNNNNNNNNNNNNNNNNNNNNNNNNNNNNNNNNNNNNNNNNNNNNNNNNNNNNNNNNNNNNNNNNNNNNNNNNNNNNNNNNNNNNNNNNNNNNNNNNNNNNNNNNNNNNNNNNNNNNNNNNNNNNNNNNNNNNNNNNNNNNNNNNNNNNNNNNNNNNNNNNNNNNNNNNNNNNNNNNNNNNNNNNNNNNNNNNNNNNNNNNNNNNNNNNNNNNNNNNNNNNNNNNNNNNNNNNNNNNNNNNNNNNNNNNNNNNNNNNNNNNNNNNNNNNNNNNNNNNNNNNNNNNNNNNNNNNNNNNNNNNNNNNNNNNNNNNNNNNNNNNNNNNNNNNNNNNNNNNNNNNNNNNNNNNNNNNNNNNNNNNNNNNNNNNNNNNNNNNNNNNNNNNNNNNNNNNNNNNNNNNNNNNNNNNNNNNNNNNNNNNNNNNNNNNNNNNNNNNNNNNNNNNNNNNNNNNNNNNNNNNNNNNNNNNNNNNNNNNNNNNNNNNNNNNNNNNNNNNNNNNNNNNNNNNNNNNNNNNNNNNNNNNNNNNNNNNNNNNNNNAAUCGGGCUCCUCCCCGAUCCAGUUCCAGUCGAGUCGGAGGAAGAGAAGAGGGAGAGAGUGGGGGUCGUGGGGGAGUGGGGGUCGCUCGUUUUAGGUCACGGGGUCCCGGGGGAUAAGGAGAGGAGAGUUGGGCCGGCGGCUUGGUUGGCCCAGGGGGUGGUUACGGUGGCCAGCCGGGCCGACCAGUUGGCCGAGGCCCAAGGGUAGUGGGGGGUUUCUUUGUUUGGAACAUUUGGUUAGUGAACAUUUGGAAACCAAUGAACAUUUUUUGUUUGAAUAAAUAUUAAUUUGACUCUAUUUUAAAUUGAAUUUGAAUUCGGUUUAGAACAUAGUGAGGUUUAGAAAAAUAAUUGUGAUGACAUGGCAUCAUUAGUGAGUGGUUACUGUAGCUUAAUUAUCCGGGCGUCACAAUUCUCCUCCACUACAAGAAAUCUCGUCCCGAGAUUUAAGAGGUGGGUUAAGCGGGGAAAGACUAGGUUACGAAAGUCUAACGGAUCUUCUCGGUCUUGGUUGCUUUUCUCGAACAGGUCGAUCCAUUACAUUGACGUCUUGUUUACUUUGCUUCCAGCCAUCAUGAUGAAGUCGGCAUCCUUUCUUCGGAAAUUUCAUCGUACUUAUGAAAAGACAAGGGGUAACUUCGGAAGAACGGGCCUUACAAGGUUGACCAUCUGGCGGAUAACUCAGGGAAUGUGGUAGAAAGUAACUCUCGAAUAGGUACUUAAGAAAAUAUCGAGAGUAAAGUAAGAAGGUACCAUGAGAAGUUUCCAAUGGGCAGGCAAUCGUUGGAUGGCCUAAUCAGAAGGUGAAGGGGGUUCAGAGCAAAGAGAAUAAGUAUUGCGUCUGAUACCAUAAUAGAUCACUUGGUAGGUGGCCCAUGAAUUACAUAAGAAGUCAAGCGCGAGGAAUAACUUUGACAACAGGGUGUACAGGAGAGUCAGGUUUUGAUCCUGGGACCUGUGGGUUAUGGGCCCACCAUGUGGGUUAAAAGUAGGAAGAGCGAGGACAUCUUGCACGAUCAUGUAAGCAAGGUAUUUCAGAGGAUAGCCUAGCAGUUAUGUCGGCAACAACAUCAGUACCAAGGGCGAGGGACAAAGAGAACCAUUUUCCUGCUCGUUGAACGAGGCGGACCAAUAGGCAAAGUUCUCGUCCAUCGGUGGCUACUGGAAUGUCAUCAACAAUAGUAACAUGGUCUUCCUGACAGAAUUGUACAAUGAGGGGUUUACAUAAGCAGGAGAAUAUUACUGCUUAGAUCAUAUAGAUCACAAGAAAGGUUAAACCAAACAAGGGAAAGGAAAAUAUGAUUACGAGAUUAAAAAGAACAAUGGAAAGGAAAAAUGUGUUAAAACACAUACUCCAGGGGUAUAUCCUUCCCAAGGACAAGCAAAUCAUGAUAUCCAAGGUAGGAUAGAAAGUAGAAAACCAUUCAGGUAAUGGGAGAGGAAUUUUCAUGGCAUUAACCAUACAACGAUGUUUGGAUAAUGGUUAAAGAAAACUUAGCAUUGCGCUUUCAAUGCUCUUAUUGAAAAUCGGAGUACCAUAGACAUGCUUCGAGAUAGCAUGGACAUGGUCAACAGGUGAAGAUCAAACUUUGGAAACACAAAGGAUCCAUCAGGAAUAACUUGUAGAAUAAAUCUUACAAUUUCCUCAUGGAAGAAUGGAUAACCUUACUGAAAAGGAAACUAUAGCAAUAGGUCCUCCGGCCAGGUGUGUUAGGAAUGACAUCAUCUUACCGGGUCAUAUAAAGACCAUGUUAUAACUCUUGGAAAUAUGUUCCAACCAUUAUAUCUGACCGAGAUCCAGUUCUGAUUGGCGUUAGGAUACCACAGACUCGGGAUGCAUGACAAGAGAGGUGCAACCAAAUUGUCAAGAUGACAUUGUAAGAUUCUCGGGAGUUGAACUGCG